UACGUAGGUGGCAAGCGUUGUCCGGAAUUAUGGGGCGUAAAGCGCGCGCAGGUGGUUCCUUAAGUCUGAUGUGAAAGCCCACGGCUCAACCGUGGAGGGUCAUUGGAAACUGGGGAACUUGAGUGCAGGAGAGAAGAGUGGAAUUCCACGUGUAGCGGUGAAAUGCGUAGAUAUCGAGAGGAACACCUGCGGCGAAGGCGGGUUGCUGGGCUGACACUGACGCUGAAGCGCGAAAGCUAGGGGAGCGAACGGG
rnacentral:rRNA from 1 species